rnacentral:lncRNA from 1 species
ACACUAAACGACUUCAAAUAAAAAACUUUUCAACUACAAAGUUGUAGAUUGUGCUGAGGACUAUAACUUUAGUAUAAAAUUUGUCUUCAUUUGAGUUCAUAUGAAAAAGUUAUGAAUUAUUUUUUGAUAUAGACUUGUUAGAUCGCUUUGUUUUGACCCAGAUGAGAUUCAAAACCAAGCUUAGGGACCGAGAUGACACAAUUGAACAAGUUUAGGGACCGAGAUGACACAGAUGAACAAGUUUGAGGACCUAAACAAUCGAUUUGUGAGUUUAGGGACCGGGAUAACACGACAGCACAAGUUUAGGGACCGGAAGUGGACUUUACUCUAUUAAAAAAUACAUAAACUUAUGUUCACAUAUGUGUAUAUAAAAAAUGUGAAUACUACGAAAUUGUAAAAAUGAUUCUAGAAUUUAUAAUCUUUAAAGUAUCGUAUUACAAACUUUGUACUACUAUAUCUUUUAAACUACCAUAUUAUAAACUUUGCAUUGUUACGUUUAAAACUUUACACUUAGAACUUAAGCUUUGAAUUGUCAAAUUACAAACUUUAUGCUGCUAGAUUCAAUACUUUGUUAUAUCACAAUAUAACUUUGUAUUGAUAGAUUCAAAACUUUACACACAAAAUUAUAAUCUUUGAAAUAUCAAAUUACAAAUUUUUUAAUACUAGAUUCAGAACUUUGAACUACCACUUUAUAAACUUUGAUACGGCUAUGUUCAAAACUAAACUACCACAUUAUAAACUUUGUACUACUAGUUUCAUAAAUUUGAACCAUCACAUUAUAAACUUUACAUUGUUAGGUUCAAAACUUACACCCACAUAUAUAUGCACUGCUUUUACAUUGGGAGUAGGCGCAAAACAUGCCUUCCAUUUAGAUCCACCCAAAAUGUUUCUCUCGUACACUAGGAGUGAACACUAAAAAAAUCUCUGAUAGGUUCUCCAUCCACCAAAUAAAUGCUCCAAUUCUUGUUGCUAUCUCUCAAAAGUCUUUAUUGUCAAAAAAGAGUCAUGAGCUAUGCAAAAGUUAUUAUAAAGAGAAGAAAAUAGAGGGAGUAAAAAAGGGACAAGUGUCAUAGAGAUGAAAACAAUGAGUACUCAGAUGCUCGCCUCCCUAAAAGAAAAAAAAGAGAAAAGAAAAAAAUAUUUUGUAUUGCUAUUCAAUAUUUUAUAAACAUUACACUCAAAUUUAUAAAUUUUGAAAUAUUAAAUUAUAAACUUUGUAUUGCUAUUCAAUAUUUUGAUCUAUCACAAUAUAAACUUUUUAUUACUAACUUUAAAAUAUUAAAAUUUUGAUCUAUUCAGUACUUUACACUCAGAAUUUAUAAACUUUGAACUAUCACAUUACAAACUUUGUACUAUUAUGUUCAAAACUUUAAACUAUCACAUUUAUGAACUUUGUACUGAUAGGUUCAAAAGUUUACACUUAGAGUUUAUAAACUUUGAACUAUCACGUCACUAACUUUGUAUUGCUUGAUUCAAUACUUUAUUCUAUCAUAUUACAAAUUGUAUAGCUACAUUCAAAACUUUACACUUAGAAUUCUUAAACUUUGAACUAUCACAUUACAAACUUUGAAAUGUUAGGCUCAAACUUUGAACAACAUAUUGUAACAUUUACAUUGUUAGAUUUAUAACUUAACUUUCAAAAUUAACAAAAUUUAAAGUAUGACAUUACAAACUUUAUACUACUAGGUUCAAAACUUUAAACUACCAAAUUGUAAACUUUACACCGCCA